AUGUUGUUUAUGUUAAAACAACUUCUUUGAGAUGAUGAUCACAAUGACUGAAUUGUAAAGGUCUUGCCAUUUCCUGCCAUUCAGUUAUAAGCCAGGUGUCUACCACACAGAUGGUGAUUACAUCAGGUUCCUGGUUCCAGAGAAUUUGCCAAAUCAACAUUGAUGACAAAGUCUGAGCUUUAUUUAAAUGUUCUUUUCCAUUCCGUGUCAAGGCAGGCCUUCGGAAAGGAUGUUCAAUUCUCCUUACCUGGAGUAAGGAGAUAUGCAACCAUUUCUGGUAUUGCUGUAAGACUGCACAGAACACUAAUCAGUUCGGUGAUAUGUGGACAGGUCUUCUCCACCAUGUUCAAGGAGAGCAUGAGUGGGCCCUAUGUUGCUGUGAACAUGGCCCCUUGUCCGCCGACAGGGAGAAGGAGUGGAUCCAGAGUGAUUCUGAGACCUUUCAGUUACUGUCAGAAAUAGUGCUGGAUGAGCACUGGCUGAAGAAUGUGGAGAAAUUCCUGAGUUUCAGGUCAACCGCUGAGCUGGAAUCCUUCCAUAAUCAUUUACUGAUGUAUGCCAGCAAGCGAUUCAGCUUUAGCCCACCUGUUUACAAAGCACGCACCCUCUUAGCAGCGUGGGACUAUAACCAUCAUGUUCACAGACCGGUGAAGAGGAAGGCUGAUGGCUCAAUAGAGUACUGCAAGCUCUACAAUAAAAAGUCAAAGACUUGGAGUCUAUACACAGUGAAGGUGGAGAAGGACUACGGAUACAUGGCAGACCUGCAGAGUGCUAUCCUAGAAGCCCGGCUGACAUCAGACAAGGGUUUGCCAAAGACCAGAGAAAAAAAAAGGCCUAAUGACCCACGGCAAUAUGGGGUUCUUGCAAGCAUCCCACCUCCCACCACCCAGGACCUGUU